rnacentral:rRNA from 1 species
ACGAACGCUGGCGGCAUGCCUAACACAUGCAAGUCGAACGAAACCAAGGCUUCGGCCUGAAGUUUAGUGGCGCACGGGUGCGUAACGCGUGGGAAUCUGCCCUUGGGUUCGGAAUAACAGUUAGAAAUGACUGCUAAUACCGGAUGAUGACGUAAGUCCAAAGAUUUAUCGCCCAGGGAUGAGCCCGCGUAAGAUUAGCUAGUUGGUGGGGUAAAGGCCUACCAAGGCUACGAUCUUUAGCUGGUCUGAGAGGAUGAUCAGCCACACUGGGACUGAGACACGGCCCAGACUCCUACGGGAGGCAGCAGUGGGGAAUAUUGGACAAUGGGCGAAAGCCUGAUCCAGCAAUGCCGCGUGAGUGAUGAAGGCCUUAGGGUUGUAAAGCUCUUUUACCAGGGAUGAUAAUGACAGUACCUGGAGAAUAAGCUCCGGCUAACUCCGUGCC